CUCUUCCUCUCCAGCCUCCACCUGCUUCCUGCUUCUGUAAAUUCAUCCUGAAAUCAAACCACAUGAGAUAAGUAUUUCCUCCUCCUCCUCCUCCUCCUCCUCCCACAUUCAAAGAGUCACCGGUUUCCAUGGAGACGGGGGGCGUGAUGACCUCAUAUCCAGGGGGCUGUUACACCUGCAGGACAAACUUCCUCCAGAGCUAGCUUCAGUAGCGUGCUUCAGGUGGACCUGCAGACUCAGGAGAUGUUUCCCGGCUGCAGAGCUGCAGAUGUUCUGACGGUAACAGACUUUAUCAAAUGAUCUCUGGUUUCCUCUCAGAAGAACCAGGUCAGGAACAUGCUGACAAUCUGACUGAAACCUGCUCAGCUCCGACCUCAGAGCAACCACAGCCAUGAUGCCACAGCCGGGGGCGGGGCCGCGGUAGCACGCCAGCCGCCAUAUAUGGAAACAGGAAGCAGAGCGGACGACACAGAGAGGAGUCCUUCUGAUUGGUCCGUUUGAACAUCAGAGCUGUUUUAUUAUCAGAUUUACUGUUUAUAUUAAUAAAAUACAAACCUUU
ensembl:lncRNA